rnacentral:lncRNA from 1 species
UCUAGUUGCUUUCUAAAUGUUCUGAGUUCUCUUCCAUUUCAUAAAUUGUCUCCCUAUAAAAAAGAAUAUGAUUAUGUUAUCCAUUUCAAUGUGAAAAUAGUUCCUGGUUCCUUCAGUGAGAAUUCUCCUUCAAAGGAACAUUUAGUUUCUGACUGGUUUGAUUUUCCGUGGUGUCUAAAGUUUCAUAUAAUAGGUUUUGUAGGCUUUGUUCAGGCUUAUGCAUUCGUUAAUCACUUAGUGUAUGAAUUCUAUCUAUGUUUUAUCUGUAGCUGUUUCCUAUGGAACUAAUUAAUCUCCCUAAUUUAUAUGCAGGAUAACAUCUUAAAAAUUCGAAAAGUUUAUGAUGCUUUUCUAGCAGAGUUUCCUUUGUGUUAUGGGUAUUGGAAAAAUUCAAGCUUAUACCUAUUCAGUUGA